CUUGGGUCCUUAUUAAAAAGUCCUCUUCCGCUUGUUGACAGACUAACUACAUCAUCGAUAACACUGUGCAACCCCAAAGCCAGAGGAGAGAGAGAGAAAUAUGGUUGCCGUCCUCCUUGUGGAAGCUGCUUUGCCUGGCUAUUCAUCAGUCAAGUAUAUAUGGUGCACCUACAAUGUGACAGGCCCUUUAUCAUGUGCUGGCAAGACAAGGAGGACAAGACAAGUUCUUUGCUUCAGGACAUCUGCAGACUUUCUGAAGAUACAAUUAUAAAACAAAACACUGUG